GAACCUCUCCCGGGGCCGGAGACGGUUGGUGCCGUUGGAGCUCUGGGCAUGCGCAGAUCGCGGCGCGGGGGAGAGGGGAGAGCUGCCGCCUCCAGGUGUGUGACUGAGGUCAGGGCCCUUAUCGUACUGAGCGUGGCUCAGGCCUUGCCUGAGAUCAGGUCCCCCAGUGUGCUGGGCGCUGCACAAACCCUGACUGAGUUUGGGGGCACUCGUUGUGCCAGGCCCUGCAUCAACACCAGGGUUUCCAAUUUCCAAACUAGAUGUGAUCUUGCUGCUGGACCGAGGGAAGAGCCGUGGGUCCCGGACCUCCAGGGCUCUGAGAAAGAAGUGCUCCCCAGAGCUGCCUGCACAG